rnacentral:rRNA from 1 species
CCUAUCAGAGGGGGAUAGCCCGGCGAAAGUCGGAUUAAUACCCCAUAAAACAGGGGUCCCGCAUGGGAAUAUUUGUUAAAGAUUCAUCGCUGAUAGAUAGGCAUGCGUUCCAUUAGGCAGUUGGCGGGGUAACGGCCCACCAAACCGACGAUGGAUAGGGGUUCUGAGAGGAAGGUCCCCCACAUUGGUACUGAGACACGGACCAAACUCCUACGGGAGGCAGCAGUGAGGAAUAUUGGUCAAUGGCCGAGAGGCUGAACCAGCCAAGUCGCGUGAAGGAAGAAGGAUCUAUGGUUUGUAAACUUCUUUUAUAGGGGAAUAAAGUGGAGGACGUGUCCUUUUUUGUAUGUACCCUAUGAAUAAGCAUCGGCUAACUCCGUGCCAGCAGCCGCGGUAAUACGGAGGAUGCGAGCGUUAUCCGGAUUUAUUGGGUUUAAAGGGUGCGUAGGUGGUGAUUUAAGUCAGCGGUGAAAGUUUGUGGCUCAACCAUAAAAUUGCCGUUGAAACUGGGUUACUUGAGUGUGUUUGAGGUAGGCGGAAUGCGUGGUGUAGCGGUGAAAUGCAUAGAUAUCACGCAGAACUCCGAUUGCGAAGGCAGCUUACUAAACCAUAACUGACACUGAAGCACGAAAGCGUGGGGAUCAAACAGGAUUAGAUACCCUGGUAGUCCACGCAGUAAACGAUGAUUACUAGGAGUUUGCGAUACAAUGUAAGCUCUA